ACGGAAGGCAGCAGUGGGGAAUAUUGCACAAUGGGCGAAAGCCUGAUGCAGCGACGCCGCGUGAGUGAAGAAGUAUCUCGGUAUGUAAAGCUCUAUCAGCAGGGAAGAAAAUGACGGUACCUGACUAAGAAGCCCCGGCUAACUACGUGCCAGCAGCCGCGGUAAUACGUAGGGGGCAAGCGUUAUCCGGAUUUACUGGGUGUAAAGGGAGCGUAGACGGUUUGGCAAGUCUGAAGUGAAAUGCGGGGGCUCAACUCCUGAACUGCUGUGGAAACUGUCGAACUAGAGUGCAGGAGAGGUAAGUGGAAUUCCUAGUGUAGCGGUGAAAUGCGUAGAUAUUAGGAGGAACACCAGUGGCGAAGGCGGCUUACUGGACUGUAACUGACGUUGAGGCUCGAAAGCGUGGGGAGCAAACAGGAUUAGAUACCCUGGUA
rnacentral:rRNA from 1 species